GCUGCAAUGGCUCAAUUGGUACAGCACUGGUCUUGAAAACCAGCAUGUCGAGAAAUCGCUAUAUAGGUUCGAAUCCUAUUUGCAGCG
rnacentral:tRNA from 1 species